rnacentral:rRNA from 1 species
UACCUGGUGAUCCUCCCAUAGUCAUAUGCUUGCUCAAAAAUAAGCCAUGCAUGUAAUAUGAACAAAUUCAGACUGAAACUGCGAAUGGCCAUUAAAUCAUAUAGUUUUGAUGUAUCUGCUACUCGAAACCGUAAAUCUAGAGCUAAUACUGCAACAAACCCCGACUCUGAAGGAGCAUUAUAAUAAAAGUCACGCGGCUUGCCCGUUGCUGCGAUGAUCAAAAACUCGACGAUCGCACGCCCUUGGCCGCGACGCAUCAUCAAAUUUCUCCCACAACUUUCGAUGGUAGAUAUGGCCUACUAUGUGACGGUGACGGAGAAUUAGGUCGAUCCGGAAGGAACCCUGAAACGCUACCACAUCCAAGGAAGCAGCAGGCGCGCAAAUUACCCAAUCCUGACACGGAGUAUGACAAUAAAUAACAAUACCGGCUCAUACAGUCUGAAUUGGAAUGAUACAAUCUAAAUCCCUAACGAGGAUCCAUUGAGGCAAUCUGGUGCCACAGCCGCGUAAUUCACUCCAAUAGCGAUAUUAAUUGUUGCAUAAAAAGCUCGUAUUGACUUUGGUGUCGGCCGUCCGCCAUCAGGUUGCACCGUUUACUCGUCCCUCUGUCGGCGAUGCGCUCCUACCCUUAACUGGCGGGUCUGCCCGCUUGUUACUUGAAGAAAUUAGUGCUCAAAGCAAGCCUACCUCGUAUACAUAGCAUGGAUAACAUCAUAGGAUUCGGUCCUAUACGUUGCCUCGGGAUCGAGUAAUGAUAACAGGACAGUCGGGCAUUCGAUUCAAUCAAGUGAAAUCUGGAUUAAAAACGAACAAUGCGAAAGCAUUCCAAGGAUUUCAUUAAUCAAGAACGAAAUGGGGCUCGAAGACGAUCAAUACCGUCCUAGUCUCAACCAUAAACAUGCCGACCAGGAUCAGCGGAUUUCUUUAGGACUCCGCUGCACCUUAGAAAAUCAAAUUUUGGUUCCGGGAGAUGUCGCAAGCUGAAACUUAAAGGAAUGACGAAGGCACCACCAGAUGAGCCUGCGCUAAUUGACUCAACACGGGAAACUUACCAGUCCAACAUAGUAAGAUGACAGACUGAGAGCUCUUCUUAUUCUAUGGUGGUGCAUGGCCGUCUUAGUUGGUGAGCGAUUGUCUGUUAAUUCCGUAACGAACGAGACCUCAGCCUGCUAACUACUAUGGAGGAUCCCUCCAUGGCCAGCUUCUUAGAGGACUAUGCCUUUAGGCCACGAAGUUGAGGCAAUAACAGGUCUGAUCCCUUAAUGUUCUGGCCGCACGCGCCACACUGAUGUAUCAACGAUAUAUACCUGGCCGACAGCCCGGAAAUCUUGAAAUUCAUCGUGAUGGGAUAGAUCAUGCAAUGUUGGUCCUAAACGAGGAAUCCUAGAAGCGCAUCAUCAGCUCGCGUGACUACGUCCCUGCCCUGUACACACCGCCCGUCGCCCUACGGAUGAAUGUCCGUAAGUGUAGACGUGCGACGGGCGGUCGCUGCCCCGACUCGCAGAAAUCCACUGAACCUAUCAUAGAGAAGAGAAUCUAACAAGGUUCCGUAGAACCUGCGGAAGAUCAUUG